rnacentral:rRNA from 2 species
GACGUAGGGGGCGAGCGUUGUCCGGAAUUACUGGGCGUAAAGAGCACGUAGGCGGGAACCUAAGUCAGGUGUGAAAGACCGUGGCUCAACCACGGGGUGGCAUUUGAAACUGGGUUUCUUGAGGGCAGGAGAGGAAAGCAGAAUUCCUGGUGUAGCGGUGAAAUGCGUAGAAAUCAGGAGGAAUACCAGUGGCGAAGGCGGCUUUCUGGACUGACCCUGACGCUGAGGUGCGAAAGCGUGGGUAGCAAACAGG